rnacentral:rRNA from 1 species
GCUUAUGGCCAUAUCAGCCUGGUACGCGAUCUCGCCUGAUCUCGGAAGCUAAGCAGGGUCGGGCCUGGUUAGUACUUGGAUGGGAGACCGCCUGGGAAUACCAGGUGCUGUAAGCA